CAGUCGCCGCGGGAAUACGGGGGAUGCAAGCGUUAUCCGGAAUGAUUGGGCGUAAAGGGUCUGUAGGUGGGUUAGGAAGUCUUCAGUUAAAUGGCUGGGCUUAACCGAGUAGAAGCAGUAGAAACUCCUAGCCUAGAGUACGGUAGGGGCAGAGGGAAUUCCCGGUGUAGCGGUGAAAUGCGUAGAUAUCUGGAGGAAUACCGAUGGCGAAGGCAGCCAUCUGGCCUAAUACUGACGCUGAGGUACGAAAGCAUGGGGAGCAAACAGGAUUAGAUACCCCAGUAGUCCCUGUCUCUUAUAC
rnacentral:rRNA from 1 species